rnacentral:rRNA from 1 species
GACGAACGCUGGCGGCGUGCUUAACACAUGCAAGUCGAACGAGACGAUUGAAAGCUUGCUUUUGAAAGUCGAGUGGCAAACGGGUGAGUAACGCGUAGACAACCUGCCUUUGAGAUGGGGACAACAGUUCGAAAGGACUGCUAAUACCGAAUGUUGUAUAUUUUCCACAUGGAAGAUAUAUUAAAGAUGGCCUCUAUUUAUGAGCUAUCGCUCAAAGAUGGGCCUGCGUCUGAUUAGCUGGUUGGUGGGGUAACGGCCUACCAAGGCGACGAUCAGUAGCCGGUCUGAGAGGAUGAACGGCCACAUUGGGACUGAGACACGGCCCAGACUCCUACGGGAGGUAGCAGUGGGGAAUCUUCCACAAUGGACGAAAGUCUGAUGGAGCAACGCCGCGUGAGUGAAGAAGGGUUUCGGCUCGUAAAGCUCUGUUGUCGGGGACGAAUGUGCAGUAUUUGAAUAAAGUACUGUAAUGACGGUACCUGACGAGGAAGCCACGGCUAACUACGUGCCAGCCGCCGCGGUAA